CCUGAAUGCUAAGUAAGCUAAAGAGUUUUAGCUCCAAACGCCGUGUUCUGAAUAAAAAACGCUCUGAUUUAUGUGAACGCACACACAGACAGGACGUGUCCGCGAAGAGCUUUCUCCGCUUCGAGGUUUCAUUGAGCCAAACGAGGGGGAAACUGCGAGGCUACCAAGGGUCUGUGAUUGGAAACACGUGUCUGGAAGAAAGCAAUUCAAGGCGGGCAAAACAGCGACCUGUACCCGCUCCGACAGCCUGGAGCAGAUGGUCAGACUGUGAAACCAAAGCCAGGACAGGGACCCCUAAGUAAGCUGUGAGGAUCGUGUCAAAUUGUGAAUUCUUCAGACCUCAUGUUAUUUCACCUUUCCACUUCAAGGUGAAAUUGUCUCAUCUAACAGCGGCUGGAUCAUGGCCCGGAAACCAUGUAGCUCCGUGUGUUGGUUUGUUGCUAAAUGCUGCUACAUUUGAGCCGCCUCGCUCACACUUGGCUCUCCGGAAAGCGUUCUUCACUCUCUGCCAAAUGCACCGAGCACAGAGCCAGCGGAGCAAAGCGAAAUACUUGAAGAGGAGG
ensembl:lncRNA